GGGACCAUUUAAACUCUUGCAAUCAACCUGAACAAAAUCGUCUGAACAAAAAAAUCUAAAUCAAAACUUUCAACAACGGAUCUCUUGGUUCUGGCAUCGAUGAAGAACGCAGCGAAAUGCGAUAAGUAGUGUGAAUUGCAGAAUUCAGUGAAUCAUCGAAUCUUUGAACGCACAUUGCGCCCUAUGGUAUUCCGUAGGGCAUGCCUGUUCGAGCGUCAUUUACACCUUCAAGCUCCGCUUGGUGUUGGGUGACUGUGGCCCCUCGGGGCCACUCGCCUCAAAGUCAUUGGCGGCCGGUUUGUAGGCUUCGAGCGCAGCACAUGUGCGUCUUCGUGCCUCGCGGAUCGGCUCCCAGAAGCUAAAUCUCACAUUUUUGACCUCGAAUCAGGUAGGGACACCCGCUGAACUUC
rnacentral:rRNA from 1 species